GACGAACGUUGGCGGCGUGCUUAACAUAUGCAAGUCGAACGGUAUGGCCCUGCUUUUGUGGGGUGCUCGAGUGGCGAACGGGUGAGUAACACGUGAGUAACCUUCCCUUGACUUUGGGAUAACUUCAGGAAACUGGGGCUAAUACCGGAUAGGAGCUCCUGCUGCAUGGUGGGGGUUGGAUAGUUUCGGCGGUUGGGGAUGUACUCGCGUCUUAUCAGCUUGUUGGUGGGGUAGUGGCUUACCAAGGCUUUGACGGGUAGCCGGCCUGAGAGGGUGACCGGCCACAUUGGGACUGAGAUACGGCCCAGACUCCUACGGGAGGCAGCAGUGGGGAAUAUUGCACAAUGGGCGGAAGCCUGAUGCAGCAACGCCGCGUGCGGGAUGACGGCCUUCGGGUUGUAAACCGCUUUCGCCUGUGACGAAGCGUGAGUGACGGUAAUGGGUAAAGAAGCACCGGCUAACUACGUG
rnacentral:rRNA from 1 species